UGACUAGCUACUGAAUCAUAGAAUUUUUUCAAAUUCAUGAUGUCGUAAGGGAAAAUAAUGAUAAUACCUUACUAUGAGUGUCGUCCAAAUCUGGUGCCAGAAGACUCGGUAAGACCAGAGACGCGAACGUUAAUCAUCAUAAACAGGCGUAAAGGGUUUGUAGGCAGCUUUCAUAAGAAUAUGAAUCCAAAAUAAAGUAGUCUAAUUGAAAGCUAGAAUCAAAAAGAGGUUAUAGUGUAUAACGCCUAGAGGAGGGCUGAUAUCCAUAGAUCCUAGGCAGAAUACUAAGGGCGAAGGCCACUCUCCACUAAUGAUUGACGCUGAGAAACGAAGGUUAGGGUAGGAAAUAGGAUUAGAUACCCCGGUACUCCUUUCUGUAAACGAUGAAUGGUAGUCAUUAGUUUUUUAAAUUAACUAGAGACGAAGUUAACACAAUAACCAUUCCGCCUUGUGAGUACUACUGCAAAGUAGAAAACAAAAAAAUUAGUCGGUCUCGAAGCAAACGGAGUGAAGCAUGUUAUUUA
rnacentral:rRNA from 1 species